UUUUUUUUUUUCUUCAAUGGGUGCACCUGCGGCAUAUGGAGGUUCCCAAGCUAGGGGUCGGAUCGGAGCUACAGCUGCAGGCCCACGCCACAGCCACAGCAAUAGCAGAUCUGAGCCGCAUCUGCAACCUACACCACAGGCGAUGCCGGAUCCUUAACCCACUGAGCAAGGUCAGGGAUUGAACCCGAGUCCUCAUGGAUACUAGUUGGGUUUGUAACCUGCUGAGCCACAAUGAGAACUCCCUGGACAUUUUUUUUUUUCUUUUCUCUUUUUGCCUUUUCUAGGGCUGCUUCCCGCGGCAACAUGGAAGUUCCUAGGCUAGGGGUCCAAUCGGAGCUCAACUACAAGGUGGACGGUUGCCAAGGAUUCCAGGAGAGUUGAUCCUUUGGUUGGCCAUUCUCAAGCAGCUGGGGGAGAGGGGGCGGAGGAGGGGAGGAAGGGCGGAGGAGGGGAGGAAGGAAGACCACACUUGGGGCACUUUUCUUUCCUUCUUGGGUCCAACCACGCCCAGACUCCCACUCUCUGCAGGAGCCAGAGGAGGAAUCCUUGCAGAGACCUGCACAGCAGCUCUGCAACAGGUCUGCGGCUGUCCAUGCCCUGGGGAGCUGAAAGGAGCCAACGGAGCUCCCAAGAAUACAUCCUACAUGUUUCCUGAAACAGCUUUGGAGUUGGGAGGGACUUGAAUUCUUAGCAGGAGCAGACAUGUAUCAACAAGUGUCAAGUUUGUGACUGUUUCCUGCACUAGCGCCUUCAAAGAGCGAGAAUCUCAAGAUGGGUCCAGCGGGACCAACUGCUGUGUCCAGAAGCCAGAGGGGUUCACAUGAAUUUGCAGCUUUGUUCUUCCCAAGCAUCAGGGGAACAUCCAUCAUAACUGAGAUUCUCAAGAAGAAAAUCAGAUUUGUGUGCCUCCUUUGAGUAUAUUUGUGGAAGAAUGAAAUCAGAUGCUCGUUGUCAGGAAUGACGUUAGGACGGCCAAACUCCAUUUCCAGUGGGCUUUGGAAAUUCACCAUGUUUUUCCCUCCGCCGCUAUAGUUAUCGUCUUCUGUGCCCAAAUGUCGUGCAGAAAGCCCGCAGAAUUCCCCAUCUGUAACAUAUAACACUUCACUAGGAGUCAAGAUGACCAGAAAGCAUUACACAAAAGAUUAGGACUUCAAAAGAGGAAUUAACUCCAGGGAGAUGGGUCUUUAAGGAAUUAAAGAUCACAUUUCCAUACAAACAUCUGCCAGAAGGGAAAAAAACAGCAGGAGGAAGAGCUCCCUAGGGCUGCAGCUCAGGCGGGCAGGGCUCUCUCUUGAUGCACAGUGUUUUCCGAGAAGGGCUGAGCAGGCUCUGCUCUUGGAACAGGGUCUUUUUCUUUCUGGAGCUUCAUUUCCAGGCUUAGGAAAGUGUUUCUGGUAUGAGGGAGCUUAACAGCUUCAGGCCACGUAGCUUCCAAAGGCACCCUUGGCCCGUGAGAUACCAGAGUGCUUGUAAGAGCGUGAAGGUGCCCAAGGGGGCUCACGGCUGAUACGGGACCAUGGAGCCCUUUCCCUGCAUCUGCUUCCAACCCUUCAGCCCCGUGCUGACACUGUUCCACCAGACAACGUCUAACACCAUCCAGGAUCCUUCAAUGCUCUCUUUUAUGCCAAAAACUGGCCUCUUGUUCUAGUUCCAGAACCCUGGGGAGCCUCUGUUGGCUGUAUGACGUUUUGAUCUCUUCCAGGUGGAAUAUUCCAUGAUAGCCAAGAUACUCACUUAAGGACUUGAAAAACAAGUGACCAACUUCAAAAGUUAGAGCAAAGAAAAUCACAUUUGCAGCAGUGGUGGGUGAGAAGAGUGCUACAUGAAUGUGGCCCAGGGGUCUGUGUUAGGUACCUGGACACACAUGUAGAAAUGCAUUCUCAAACCCCGUAUUUCAUCCCCUUACAUGACAGGCCCAGGAAGCAAGAAUGAACACACUUAACAAUGCUGGUGUUGCAGGCUGAAUCGUGUUUCCCACAGGAUACAUGCUGAUGUCCUAAUCCCGGCCCCUGCGGAUGUGGCCCUAUUUGGAAAUACAGUCUUUGCCGAUGUCAUCAGUUAGAAUGAAGUCAUAAUGGAUAAGGGUGGGCCCUAGGUCCAAAGGCUGGAUUUCAUAAGGAGAGAGACCGGAGACGCCCAGUUGAACACAGAGAAGAGGCCACAUGAUGAUGGAGGCAGGGACUGGAGUAGCGCAGCCAAAACUCAUGGAUGCCAAGAACUGCCAGCAGAUGCUCGAAGAGGCAAAAGAUGAUCCCUCCCUAGAGGCUUCAGAGGGCGCGUGGCCCUGCUGACACCUUGACUCCUGGUCUCCAGAACUUCGCAGGGAUGCAUUUUUGUUGUGGUGGUAGUGUGUAUUUGUUUGUUUGUUUGUUUCUUUCUUUCUCUCUCUCUCUCUCUCCCCCCCCUCCCCUCUUUCUUUCUUUUAGGGCUGCAUCCCCGGCACACAGAAGUUCCCAGGCUAGGGGGUUUAAUCGGAGGUACAGCUGCAGGCCUAUGCCACAGCCACAGCAACUCAGGAUUUGAGCCACAUCUGCAACCUACAUUGCAGCUCAAGGCAAUGCUGGAUCCUUAACCCACUGAGUGGGGCCAGGACUGGAACCUGCAUCCUCAUGGACACUAGGUGGGUUCGUUACCUCUGAGCCACAACAGAAACUCCCAUUUUUGUUCUUUUAAGCAGCCUGUUUGUGGCACUUUGCAAGGCAGUCCCAGAGAGUGAAUAUAGCUGGCCCUCAGCCACUUUCUGGGCCCCAUGCUGCUCAGUGCCACGAUUCCAGUCUGGGGAGCUGGGAGGAGGGAAGGAGCUGAACGAACUAGAAACCCGAGCAAGAGCUGGAGCCCAGGACAGGUGGGUGGAGGGGUGGGAUCCUGACAGGUGAGAACAGGGAACACAGAGCCCAGGAUGAAGAGAAACAGACCAACGUGGUGCCUUCUGAGGCCACACAGAGCGUCAAGCCAGGGAGCCUGGGGGACACAGAGCUGGCACAAAUUAGGUGGGAGAAUGCAUGUGAAGUUCUAUGCUGAGUAGCCCACUAACACAGGACGGAGGCAUAAGCAUCGGGGAGGCGUGAGUCUUCUCAUCGUGUUGCCAACACCAUCACUAUCUCCACGAUCCCCUCCGUUACUGCUAAGUCACCGCAACGACAGUGCGGCCCCCUCUACCUGCUGAGGUGUACCUGGUCCUACAGUCCAGGGAGUGAGGGAAGACUUCUGGGAAACAAGUUAUAGGAUCUUCCUCUCCUCCUCCCUCCCUUCCACAGAUAUUUUCAGAGCACGUACUCUGUGCCAGACAUUGUGCUCGGUGCCAGGGACCCGCUGCCGUGUGAUACAGGCAAGGGCUCAUCCCCACAAAGCUUAGGGUUGGGUAGAAGACAGGUACCCAGGGAUGUCACUCCCCCGACUGGGGAGUAGGGGCGCUACUGAGCACAUCAGAGGCACAGUUAAACUAGACUGAGGGAGGCCUGGUGGGCUUCCUGGAGGAAGUGACAGCUACACUGACUAACCUUAGGGUGAAGGGGCAACAGGCAACAAGGAGAAGAUAUGCUGGCAGAGGUGUUGGCUUGAGUCCAGGCUCGGGGUGGGGGAGCAGAAGGCCAACUGGAGGAACUAAGUCUCUCUUCGCCGACCUCCCCUACCUGAUCAACUAGGGUCUCCCCUCCCCUCCAUGAAAUCACUUUGACCAACACCUGCAGCACACCCAAAGCUCAGGCUGGCAGGCUGCUCUCUAAGAUGCCCACACUGAGCUGUAUACUUGAAAAGAUCAGGUCUGGAAGCCUCUCACCUGUUUGUGCCAGUUGUAUUUGUUAGUUACACUUCUCCAUGUUUAUUAAAGAUUGCACAAACUAUUGAUACAUGAACACAAAAAAGAAAGAAAGGUUGUUUUGUAUUUAAAAAAAAAAUAGCAGUGACUGCUUUAAAAUUUUUUCAAACAAGGCAAGUCACUAAGAAAACCUGCAGUUGAAAUAGGUAAGGGUG
rnacentral:lncRNA from 1 species